rnacentral:tRNA from 1 species
GAGGGUAUAGCUCAGUGGUAGAGUGCCUGCCUAAAAUGCACAAGGUCCUUGUUUCAAUCCCCAGUACCUCCA